rnacentral:rRNA from 1 species
CGCGUAGGCGGUUUGUUUAGUUAGGCGUGAAAUUCCUGGGCUUAACCUGGGGACUGCGCUUAAUACAGGCAGACUUGAGUUCGGAACGAGGGUCGUGGAAUUCCCAGUGUAGAGGUGAAAUUCGUAGAUAUUGGGAAGAACACCGGUGGCGAAGGCGGCGACCUGGUCCGAUACUGACGCUGAGGCGCGAAAGCGUGGGGAGCAAACA